rnacentral:rRNA from 1 species
UUCCGGUUGAUCCUGCCGGAGGACAUUGCUAUUGGGAUUCGAUUUAGCCAUGCUAGUCGCGCGAAUCAGAUUCGCGGCAGAUAGCUCAGUAACACGUGGCCAAGCUACCCUUCAGACCAGAAUAACCUCGGGAAACUGAGGCUAAGACUGGAUACGGGACGCCCGCUGGAAUGCGGCGUCCUCCAAACGUUUCGGCGCUGAAGGAUGCGGCUGCGGCCGAUUAGGUAGACGGUGGGGUAACGGCCCACCGUGCCAAUAAUUGGUACGGGUGAUGAGAGUCAGAGCCCGGAGACGGAAUCUGAGACAAGAUUCCGGGCCCUACGGGGCGCAGCAGGCGCGAAACCUUUACACUGCACGACAGUGCGAUAAGGGAAUCCCAAGUGCGUAGGCAUAGAGCCUACGCUUUUGUACACCCUAGGGUGGUGUACGAAUAAGGGCUGGGCAAGACCGGUGCCAGCCGCCGCGGUAAUACCGGCAGCCCGAGUGAUGGCCGAUCUUAUUGGGCCUAAAGCGUCCGUAGCUGGCCGUGCAAGUCCAUCGGGAAAUCUGCUCGCCUAACGAGCAGGCGUCCGGUGGAAACUGUUCGGCUUGGGACUGGAAGACCAGAGGGGUACGUCGAGGGUAGGAGUGAAAUCCUGUAAUCCUCGACGGACCACCGAUGGCGAAAGCACUCUGAGAGGACGGAUUCGACAGUGAGGGACGAAAGCUAGGGUCUCGAACCGAUUAGAUACCCGGGUAGUCCUAGCUGUAAACGAUGCUCGUUAGGUGUGGCACCCCACUACGAGUGGGUGCUUGUGCCGUAGGAAGCCCGCUUAAACGGAGCGC